GAUGAACGCUCGCUACAGGCUUAACACAUGCAAGUCGAGGGGAAACGCCAUCGAAAGCUUGCUUUUGAUGGGCGUCGACCGGCGCACGGGUGAGUAACGCGUAUCCAACCUGCCCACCACUUGGGGAUAACCUUGCGAAAGUAAGACUAAUACCCGAUGAUAUCUCUAUAAGACAUCUGAAAGGGAUUAAAGAUUUAUCGGUGAUGGAUGGGGAUGCGUCUGAUUAGCUUGUUGGCGGGGUAACGGCCCACCAAGGCGACGAUCAGUAGGGGUUCUGAGAGGAAGGUCCCCCACAUUGGAACUGAGACACGGUCCAAACUCCUACGGGAGGCAGCAGUGAGGAAUAUUGGUCAAUGGGCGAGAGCCUGAACCAGCCAAGUAGCGUGCAGGAUGACGGCCCUAUGGGUUGUAAACUGCUUUUAUAAGGGAAUAAAGUGAGUCUCGGGAGACUUUUUGCAUGUACCUUAUGAAUAAGGACCGGCUAAUUCCGUG
rnacentral:rRNA from 1 species